rnacentral:rRNA from 1 species
UGGGGAAUAUUGCACAAUGGGCGCAAGCCUGAUGCAGCCAUGCCGCGUGUAUGAAGAAGGCCUUCGGGUUGUAAAGUACUUUCAGCGGGGAGGAAGGGAGUAAAGUUAAUACCUUUGCUCAUUGACGUUACCCGCAGAAGAAGCACCGGCUAACUCCGUGCCAGCAGCCGCGGUAAUACGGAGGGUGCAAGCGUUAAUCGGAAUUACUGGGCGUAAAGCGCACGCAGGCGGUUUGUUAAGUCAGAUGUGAAAUCCUCGGGCUAAACCUGGGAACUGCAUCUGAUACUGGCAAGCUUGAGUCUCGUAGAGGGGGGUAGAAUUCCAGGUGUAGCGGUGAAAUGCGUAGAGAUCUGGAGGAAUACCGGUGGCGAAGGCGGCCCCCUGGACGAAGACUGACGCUCAGGUGCGAAAGCGUGGGGAGCAAACAGG